rnacentral:rRNA from 1 species
UACGGGGGGGGCAAGCGUUGUUCGGAAUUACUGGGCGUAAAGGGCUCGUAGGUGGCCCGCUAAGUUGGACGUGAAAUCCCUCGGCUCAACCGGGGAACUGCGUCCAAGACUGGCAGGCUUGAAUCCGGGAGAGGGACGUGGAAUUCCAGGUGUAGCGGUGAAAUGCGUAGAUAUCUGGAGGAACACCGGUGGCGAAGGCGGCGUCCUGGACCGGUAUUGACACUGAGGAGCGAAAGCCAGGGGAGCAAACGGG